rnacentral:rRNA from 1 species
CCUACGGGUGGCAGCAGUCGAGAAUUUUUCUCAAUGGGGGAAACCCUGAAGGAGCGACGCCGCGUGGAGGAUGAAGGUCUUCGGAUUGUAAACUCCUGUCAUUUGGGAACUAGUACCAGAAGAGGAAGAGACGGCUAACUCUGUGCCAGCAGCCGCGGUAAUACAGAGGUCUCAAGCGUUGUUCGGAUUCAUUGGGCGUAAAGGGUGCGUAGGUGGCGGGGUAAGUCAGGUGCGAAAUCUCGGGGCUCAACCUCGAAACUGCACUUGAUACUGCCUUGCUAGAGUAUUGGAGAGGAGAUUGGAAUUUACGGUGUAGCAGUGAAAUGCGUAGAUAUCGUAAGGAAGACCAGUGGCGAAGGCGAAUCUCUGGACAUACUGACACUGAGGCACGAAGGCCAGGGGAGCAAACGGGAUUAGAUACCCUUGUAGUC